GGACUACCGGGGUAUCUAAUCCUGUUUGAUCCCCACGCUUUCGCGCCUCAGCGUCAAUGUCGGUCCAGUUGGCCGCCUUCGCCACGGGUGUUCUUCCCAAUCUCUACGAAUUUCACCUCUACACUGGGAAUUCCACCAACCUCUACCGAAUUCAAGCAAGGCAGUCUUGAAUGCAAUUCCAGGGUUGAGCCCUGGGCUUUCACAUCCAACUUGCCAAGCCGCCUACGCGCCCUUUACGCCCAGUAAUUCCGAACAACGCUAGCUCCCUUCGUAUUACCGCGGCGGCUGGCAC
rnacentral:rRNA from 1 species